rnacentral:rRNA from 1 species
GACAGAGGGUGCAAACGUUGUUCGGAUUUACUGGGCGUAAAGCGCGUGUAGGCGGCUUUGCAAGUCGGAUGUGAAAUCCCACGGCUCAACCGUGGAAGUGCAUCCGAAACUGCAUCGCUGGAGUCUCGGAGAGGAAGGUGGAAUGCUUGGUGUAGAGGUGAAAUUCGUAGAUAUCAAGCAGAACACCUGCGGCGAAGGCGGCCUUCUGGACGAUGACUGACGCUGAGGUGCGAAAGCGUGGGGAGCAAACAGG